UGAUUGGUGCUUGCAUCAUGAUUUACAUUUGAGUGAGUGGCGAACUGGUGAGUAACACGUGGGAAACCUGCCCAGAAGCGGGGGAUAACACCUGGAAACAGAUGCUAAUACCGCAUAACAACUUGGACCGCAUGGUCCGAGUUUGAAAGAUGGCUUCGGCUAUCACUUUUGGAUGGUCCCGCGGCGUAUUAGCUAGAUGGUGGGGUAACGGCUCACCAUGGCAAUGAUACGUAGCCGACCUGAGAGGGUAAUCGGCCACAUUGGGACUGAGACACGGCCCAAACUCCUACGGGAGGCAGCAGUAGGGAAUCUUCCACAAUGGACGAAAGUCUGAUGGAGCAACGCCGCGUGAGUGAAGAAGGGUUUCGGCUCGUAAAACUCUGUUGUUAAAGAAGAACAUAUCUGAGAGUAACUGUUCAGGUAUUGACGGUAUUUAACCAGAAAGCCACGGCUAACUACGUGCCAGCAGCCGCGGUAAUACGUAGGUGGCAAGCGUUGUCCGGAUUUAUUGGGCGUAAAGCGAGCGCAGGCGGUUUUUUAAGUCUGAUGUGAAAGCCUUCGGCUCAACCGAAGAAGUGCAUCGGAAACUGGGAAACUUGAGUGCAGAAGAGGACAGUGGAACUCCAUGUGUAGCGGUGAAAUGCGUAGAUAUAUGGAAGAACACCAGUGGCGAAGGCGGCUGUCUGGUCUGUAACUGACGCUGAGGCUCGAAAGUAUGGGUAGCAAACAGGAUUAGAUACCCUGGUAGUCCAUACCGUAAACGAUGAAUGCUAAGUGUUGGAGGGUUUCCGCCCUUCAGUGCUGCAGCUAACGCAUUAAGCAUUCCGCCUGGGGAGUACGGCCGCAAGGCUGAAACUCAAAGGAAUUGACGGGGGCCCGCACAAGCGGUGGAGCAUGUGGUUUAAUUCGAAGCUACGCGAAGAACCUUACCAGGUCUUGACAUACUAUGCAAAUCUAAGAGAUUAGACGUUCCCUUCGGGGACAUGGAUACAGGUGGUGCAUGGUUGUCGUCAGCUCGUGUCGUGAGAUGUUGGGUUAAGUCCCGCAACGAGCGCAACCCUUAUUAUCAGUUGCCAGCAUUAAGUUGGGCACUCUGGUGAGACUGCCGGUGACAAACCGGAGGAAGGUGGGGAUGACGUCAAAUCAUCAUGCCCCUUAUGACCUGGGCUACACACGUGCUACAAUGGAUGGUACAACGAGUUGCGAACUCGCGAGAGUAAGCUAAUCUCUUAAAGCCAUUCUCAGUUCGGAUUGUAGGCUGCAACUCGCCUACAUGAAGUCGGAAUCGCUAGUAAUCGCGGAUCAGCAUGCCGCGGUGAAUACGUUCCCGGGCCUUGUACACACCGCCCGUCACACCAUGAGAGUUUG
rnacentral:rRNA from 2 species